UUUGAGCUCACCUGCCUCCUUUUCAAGUCUUACCUACAUUUCUGUGGGCAUCACAGCCGGAACACAAAUUUAAGCCUUUAGAAAAGGAAGCUUGCAUGCAAGAAGAGCAGACAAAAGACACAGGCUUACAAUUUCAAUUGGAAAAUCAAUUAGCAACAUAGUAAAGGAUCCUACAUCAUUCUCAAAAGAUAAAACGAGUUAAGAACUGGCUGCAGAAAAAAAAGCACAAGCCGCGAAAGACCACAAUCCUAAUUAAAAGUGGGAGGGUACCAUUUCUGUAGCCAAUGUACAGGCCCAAGAAGAUGUCUGAGUUCAAGGAAGGAUACUGCGGAGGAGGCAGUGCUGUUCCCUUAGUAGCAGGACUGAAAUGUCCCAUUACUUCCUUUCCUUGACGCAACGAAGAGGCCCAUCAGAGCUUGGCAUAGGGAGCAUCCCGAUCUUCCUACCAACAGCCAUGUUGCAAUCUAAACCGUAGCCCCAGCUAGACAUCUGUACCUGCCAAGUGGUUACUGGAGGCCUGACAGAAACAGAUGCCAGGGCCUGUCAUGUACUUUCAAAA